AUACAUGCAAGUCGAACGGGAUCCAAUUAGUAGCAAUACUGAGGAAGAUCUAGUGGCGAACGGGUGCGUAACACGUGAGCAACCUGCCUCGAAGACUGGGAUAACACCGGGAAACCGAUGCUAAUACCGGAUACCCCCACGGGCCCGCAUGGGUCGGUGAGGAAAGGAUUCUGCUUCGAGAGGGGCUCGCGGCCUAUCAGCUUGUUGGUGGGGUAAUGGCCUACCAAGGCAACGACGGGUAGCUGGUCUGAGAGGACGAUCAGCCACACUGGGACUGAGACACGGCCCAGACUCCUACGGGAGGCAGCAGUAGGGAAUCUUGCGCAAUGGGCGAAAGCCUGACGCAGCAACGCCGCGUGGGGG
rnacentral:rRNA from 1 species